rnacentral:rRNA from 1 species
UGGGGAAUAUUGGGGCAAAUGGGGCGCAAGCCUGACCCAGCAACGCCGCGUGAAGGAAGAAGGCUUUCGGGUUGUAAACUUCUUUUGUCAGGGACGAAGCAAGUGACGGUACCUGACGAAUAAGCCACGGCUAACUACGUGCCAGCAGCCGCGGUAAUACAUAGGUGGCAAGCGUUAUCCGGAUUUACUGGGUGUAAAGGGCGUGUAGGCGGGAAAGCAAGUCAGAUGUGAAAACUGUGGGCUCAACCCACAGCCUGCAUUUGAAACUGUUUUUCUGAGUACUGGAGAGGCAGAUGGAAUUCCUAGUGUAGCGGUGAAAUGCGUAGAUAUUUCGCAGAACGCCGAUUGCGAAGGCAGCCGCCCAGGGACGCACUGACGC